rnacentral:rRNA from 1 species
GAUGAACGCUAGCUACAGGCUUAACACAUGCAAGUCGAGGGGCAGCAUGGUCUUAGCUUGCUAAGGCCGAUGGCGACCGGCGCACGGGUGAGUAACACGUAUCCAACCUGCCGUCUACUCUUGGACAGCCUUCUGAAAGGAAGAUUAAUACAAGAUGGCAUCAUGAGUCCGCAUGUUCACAUGAUUAAAGGUGUUCCGGUAGACGAUGGGGAUGCGUUCCAUUAGAUAGUAGGCGGGGUAACGGCCCACCUAGUCUUCGAUGGAUAGGGGUUCUGAGAGGAAGGUCCCCCACAUUGGUACUGAGACACGGACCAA